GUGCUCUCUUCCGUAGCACAUAUACUAAAAUUAGAAUGAUACGGAGAAGAUUAGCAUGAUCCCUUCACAAGGAUGACAUGCAAAUUUGUGAAGUGGUCCAUAUUUUU
ensembl:snRNA U6 U6 spliceosomal RNA